rnacentral:rRNA from 1 species
GACGGAGGAUGCAAGCGUUAUCCGGAAUUAUUGGGCGUAAAGCGUCCGUAGGCGGUUUCAAAAGUCUGUUGUUAAAGCCCACAGCUCAACUGUGGAUCGGCAAUGGAAACUGUGAGACUAGAGAGUGGUAGGGGUAGAGGGAAUUCCUAGUGUAGCGGUGAAAUGCGUAGAUAUUAGGAAGGACACCAGUGGCGAAGGCGCUCCUGGGCCUGUUUUGACACUGAGGCACGAAAGCGUGGGUAGCAAACAGG